rnacentral:rRNA from 1 species
UCUGGUUGAUCCUGCCAGUAGUCAUAUGCUUGUCUCAAAGAUUAAGCCAUGCAUGUCUAAGUACAAACCUUAAUACGGUGAAACCGCGAAUGGCUCAUUAAAUCAGCUAUGGUUCCUUAGAUCGUCUCAUCCUACUCGGAUAACUGUGGAAAAUCUAGAGCUAAUACGUGCUUACAAGCCCUGACCUCACGGGAGGGGCGCAUUUAUUAGAUCAAAACCAAUCGGGGCUUGCCCCGUCUGCUUGGUGACUCUGGAUAACUUUUGUGCUGAUCGCAUGGCCUCUGCGCUGGCGACGUAUCUUUCAAGUGUCUGCCCUAUCAACUUACGAUGGUAGGUGAUAUGCCUACCAUGGUUAUAACGGGUAACGGGGAAUCAGGGUUCGAUUCCGGAGAGGGAGCCUGAGAAACGGCUACCACAUCUAAGGAAGGCAGCAGGCGCGCAAAUUACCCACUCCCGGCACGGGGAGGUAGUGACGAAAAAUAACGAUACGGGACUCUUUUGAGGCCCCGUAAUUGGAAUGAGUACACUUUAAAUCCGUUAACAAGUAUCUAUUGGAGGGCAAGUCUGGUGCCAGCAGCCGCGGUAAUUCCAGCUCCAAUAGCGUAUAUUAAUGUUGCUGCAGUUAAAAAGCUCGUAGUUGGAUCUGAGGACUCGAAUUGGUGGUGCACCAUACGGUGUUACUGCCGAUUCGGCCUACCUAGUCGGUGCUCGCUCUUGGUGUUCUUAAUUGAAUGCCCUGAGUGCCCGGCAAGUUUACUUUGAAAAAAUUAGAGUGCUCAAAGCAGGCCAUUAGCCGGAAUACUUCAGCAUGGAAUAAUGGAAUAGGACUUCGGUUCUAUUUUGUUGGUUUUCGGAACCCGAGGUAAUGAUUAAGAGAGACAGACGGGGGCAUUCGUACUGCGGUGUUAGAGGUGAAAUUCUUGGAUCGCCGCAAGACGAACAACUGCGAAAGCAUUUGCCAAGAAUGUUUUCAUUAAUCAAGAACGAAAGUCAGAGGUUCGAAGACGAUCAGAUACCGUCCUAGUUCUGACCAUAAACGAUGCCAACUGGCGAUCCGAGAUCGUUUGCUUAUUGACCUCUCGGGCAGCCUCCGGGAAACCAAAGUUUUUAGGUUCCGGGGGAAGUAUGGUUGCAAAGCUGGAAAGUCUUCCUUGGUGUAGGAAGAAAUGAGGGGAGUCAGGUGACUCCUUACCUCACCAGACGCGGCCGGACCCCGGAAGGGGUCUGGGCCCCGAAGCCUGACGGCGUCGGGUGCAGGAAGCCUCUAGGCGACCAGCCCAGCCGUGCAGAAAUGCAGUAGGCCUUUAUCUGGCUAUUAACGGUAAAUUCACCGGGCCAGUGUCUGACCGAGGUUUUGUGGCACCUUGCUAGGCAAGAGGGUGGACCAGGCAGGGGCGGUUGUAUCCGAAAGGUCGCCGUCUCCCUCCGUUUUGCCUGGCUCCGCAAGGGGCGUGUCUACGUCUCCUGCUGUGGGACUCGCCGUCUCCUGUUCUCAGUUGACGGGCCAGCAGCCUAACGGCGGCUGGUUGUGGCGACCUACCGGAAGCUACACGAGAGCGGGCCUAAAGGCCCGCCCCGCAGUUGGGGGGCGGAGACCGCCGCCCCCCAAACCCCCCACGGUACACU